AUAAUUAUAAUAGUUUCUUGAAGAAUACGACAUGUGAAUUGAUGAUCGUUUUUCCACAGGACGGGAGCAUAACAUAUGAUCUACGAAAGUUAGACGUAAGCAUUUUUGAUGAUGCAGAGUGUUUGGAAGAUUACGACAAUAAAACUAUAGGUAUAUUUGUAGACCCUGACAUUGAGUUGUGUGCUGGAUAUAGAAAAGGACAAAAGGGAGCUUGUCACGGUGAUUCUGGUGGACCCCUAAUCGUUGAUGGGGUGCAGUAUGGAAUCGUCUCGAGGGGCCAUGAUUGUGCGCAGAAAGAAUAUCCUACAGUUUACACCAGAGUUUCAAAAUUUCUUGACUGGAUCGAAAGCCAUAAAUGAUGGAAAUGUUAAAAAUGAGAAUAUGACUUGAUUAAAAUAAAAUGUUCCAACAUUCAGUUGUAUAACGAAAGUCUCUCUGAAACAAUUAUAUAAUAGAAUCCGUG